GAAUCAUGUUCCUCCUGUAUUAAUGUAGCGCGCAUCUUCUUGGAAGAGUGUUCUGCUGGGCACAAAAAUACAUCUCUUGUGGCUGCUGAUGGGAUCAAAUCUUCUGCUUCAAAGUAUCAGCAUGUUAAUCUUUUAGUGACAUCUGGAUCAUUGAUCCCCAGUCUUGUAAAAUGCUUGCUCUUUCGACUCGACAACAUGAUAACAGAUGAAAAUGUCUAUAGUUCCUGGGAAGUGGGAAAACUACAAUGUUUUCAGCAGAUCAAGGUGCGUUUUGACCACCCAAAUGUCCGCUUCUGCGUAAUUGGGGAUGGAUGGGAGGAGUGUGAAGCUGCGCAAGCAAUGCGAUGGCCAUUGGUUAAGAUUGAUAUGCGACCAGGAGGCUCUCACAGGUUUCCAGGCCUCACAUCCAGGACCCUCGGAUUUUAUUUUUCUGUUGUAUAUGGGAGCUCUGAUGCUAAAGAUGAAGAAGAGUGAAACUCACUGGAUUUGCAAUAAGCUGUUCUUGGGACAUCUGCCUGUACAUAAAAUCCAACCAACGUUAGGAAUUAUGUCUUGAAACAAUUUGUAUCAAUCAGCUCAGUUAGAAGAAGAUGACCACCUGAUUAGCCAAAAUUGAUUGUAUUUGUUCUUGUAGAUUAAUUGGUUGGCUUCAUGCUAGGAAUUGUAAACUUCUGUCUCGACGUGGAUAUUAAUCUACAGAGUUUUGGAUUUGUUACCCUCAAA